UUGUUCUCUAAGACAAGCAGCUGUAGCCAGCCCUGAUGGCCCGGCCCCAACUAUCACCGGACCGUUAACCCAGAUGCAACGGCGAGAGAAGAAGUCGUUGUGAUCGGCAAGACGAAACAAGUUCUCCAUCACUACUGAGAUCAAUAAUUACAGGGAUAAAGAUCAAACUAUCGACUUUUGAAAAGAUGAGGUGGCUUGGAGCUUAUGUAUUAACAACAAUCUUGAAACAUGUAUUGGAGCCACAUAGAUUGGCUGUGACGAAUAUCGAGGAGGUAACAAAUACAUUUAGUCCUUGAUCUUAGAAGUUUACUUAUUUGAUAAAUGAACUUUCAAAAUUACAAAUUUAGUCUUUGAACUUUCAAUCUUUUUCUAAAAAUAAAAAUCAUGAAUCUACUAAA